GCGCAGCCGCACAUUCCCCACCCCGCGACGCGGCCACCGGCAGAUUCGACACAGAACGCGCGCUCCUUCAGAGACUCCAGAGGGCUCGCCCCACCUUGGGCGCUUGGGAGGGCUGCGGGAUCUCAGACCUGCCCUCUUGUGCUUGGGCCUCCAGCUGACGGCCUUCCGCAGAUGGGCUUCCUCCCUUCUGCCCCAAAGGUCCAGGCUGCUACAGCAGAGGCUAAAGCACAGAGGUGCCCUGAGGAAGAUUCUAAAUCCAGAAUUUUACCACAAUUUUUGAAAGUCCACAAGCGUUGUGGAUAGAGUAGCUGGCACUAAUCUCGCAAUGAAGCAGAAGACCCAAGGAAGAAAGCACCUUUGGAAGGGGUUCCCCCGCUGAGCAUCAGACUGCCCCUGGAGAGACACUCUGGGGCCCUUCUCCCUCACACACAAAGGAUCAGGGGCUCAGGAACAGGGGCCGAGAGGAACUCAGGCCUGCUUUGGCAUCAUGUGAACUGAUAUCUUGGGUUACAGAGGACAGAAGCCACCCUGACCAACACGUGCAAGCAUCCGAGCUUUUCUUUAUCCUUCUACCUUCUCCAUGUUUCCUGUGCCGCCAUCAACAAGAGGACCACCCUCCACACAUCUUACCACCCCUGGCCGCCUCCUACUCCUGGGCCCAAGCUUGGCCUACCACCUUUUAAGACCUAGUUAGGAGUCUAAAAGUUUGAACAUCUUAGUCAAAGAGGAACCUAUUGUAGAUCACAGGAUCCAAGGAGGAACUGAAAGUAUCGGGCUCUGUACAGAUAGGGCCCUGCCUCAGGCGGCUCAGCCGGAAUCCUUUUUGGACUUCCCCUGAGAUUCAGAUUCCUGGACAGAGAGUCUUACGUUUAUCAAUAAUGUGAGAAAAGAACUAAAAUACAUCAGCCGCCAAGGGCUAAUGUCAUUUU